UGUAGCUUUCCAAACAAGCCAUAAUAAGGCUUUCAUUGUAAGCAAGAAUUGAGCUUUCUCCUUGUGCCAAGUAUGUCACCGUGGAUGACUUAAAUAUUAAGAAUCCCACAAAACAUAUACAUAUACAUAUAUAUAUAUAUACAUAUACAUAUAUAUAUAACACUAUAUAGUUUUUGGAGAACAAUAAAAAGGUGUUGUGGGAGUUUUCGGAAAUAAGAAGACGCACUCUUUGAAAACACGGAGAACUCUUUUCACUUAAAAAGAACGGGAGUAGGAUAUCUCGUUUAUAACAUUACCCACAUCUCCUCAGCUGCACCAAGUGUUCUCUCUCUUCAAGGCUUGAAGUUCUAACAGAUUUCUUUGCAAAGUCUCUCUUCAAGCUAUCUCUCUCUCAGUUUCUUGCGUUUUUCUUAGGCAGAAAGGUCGAUCUGCGUUUCUCUUCCUACCAUCAUCUCUGUGUGCGGCACAAAUGGGAAUCCUUAGAACUCAUCUGAAGAAUGAAAUGUGGGCAUCAUUCAGAGGCAAUGCUAGAUGAAGUUACUUUUACAAUUCUCCAAUGUUUUACUUUGAUUAGCUAUUUGUGUAAUUUUAUAAUAUUUUGUUUUGGUUAUGUAUGACUAAAAUUAAUGUUUGUACAACUAAAAGUGCAUAUGACACUUGAAGUAAUUCCUGUAACUCUUUUAUUGUAUAUAAAUUUAGUGAAAUUUUAAUUAAACUUGAUAUAUUGUAUUUGUCCAA